UACGUAGGGGGCGAGCGUUGUCCGGAAUCAUUGGGCGUAAAGAGCUCGUAGGCGGUUCGGUAAGUCGGGUGUGAAACCUCCAGGCUCAACCUGGAGAGGCCACCUGAUACUGCUGUGACUCGAGUCCGGUAGGGGAGCGUGGAAUUCCUGGUGUAGCGGUGAAAUGCGCAGAUAUCAGGAGGAACACCAGCGGCGAAGGCGGCGCUCUGGGCCGGAACUGACGCUGAGGAGCGAAAGCGUGGGUAGCAAACAGG
rnacentral:rRNA from 1 species